rnacentral:rRNA from 1 species
GAUGAACGCUGGCGGCGUGCCUAAUACAUGCAAGUCGAGCGAACGGACGAGAAGCUUGCUUCUCUGAUGUUAGCGGCGGACGGGUGAGUAACACGUGGAUAACCUACCUAUAAGACUGGGAUAACUUCGGGAAACCGGAGCUAAUACCGGAUAAUAUUUUGAACCGCAUGGUUCAAAAGUGAAAGACGGUCUUGCUGUCACUUAUAGAUGGAUCCGCGCUGCAUUAGCUAGUUGGUAAGGUAACGGCUUACCAAGGCAACGAUGCAUAGCCGACCUGAGAGGGUGAUCGGCCACACUGGAACUGAGACACGGUCCAGACUCCUACGGGAGGCAGCAGUAGGGAAUCUUCCGCAAUGGGCGAAAGCCUGACGGAGCAACGCCGCGUGAGUGAUGAAGGUCUUCGGAUCGUAAAACUCUGUUAUUAGGGAAGAACAUAUGUGUAAGUAACUGUGCACAUCUUGACGGUACCUAAUCAGAAAGCCACGGCUAACUACGUGCCAGCAGCCGCGGUAAUACGUAGGUGGCAAGCGUUAUCCGGAAUUAUUGGGCGUAAAGCGCGCGUAGGCGGUUUUUUAAGUCUGAUGUGAAAGCCCGCGGCUCAACCGUGGGGGGUCAUUGGAAACUGGAAAACUUGAGUGCAGAAGAGGAAAGUGGAAUUCCAUGUGUAGCGGUGAAAUGCGCAGAGAUAUGGAGGAACACCAGUGGCGAAGGCGACUUUCUGGUCUGUAACUGACGCUGAUGUGCGAAAGCGUGGGGAUCAAACAGGAUUAGAUACCCUGGUAGUCCACGCCGUAAACGAUGAGUGCUAAGUGUUAGGGGGUUUCCGCCCCUUAGUGCUGCAGCUAACGCAUUAAGCACUCCGCCUGGGGAGUACGACCGCAAGGUUGAAACUCAAAGGAAUUGACGGGGACCCGCACAAGCGGUGGAGCAUGUGGUUUAAUUCGAAGCAACGCGAAGAACCUUACCAAAUCUUGACAUCCUUUGACAACUCUAGAGAUAGAGCUUUCCCCUUCGGGGGACAAAGUGACAGGUGGUGCAUGGUUGUCGUCAGCUCGUGUCGUGAGAUGUUGGGUUAAGUCCCGCAACGAGCGCAACCCUUAAGCUUAGUUGCCAUCAUUAAGUUGGGCACUCUAAGUUGACUGCCGGUGACAAACCGGAGGAAGGUGGGGAUGACGUCAAAUCAUCAUGCCCCUUAUGAUUUGGGCUACACACGUGCUACAAUGGACAAUACAAAGGGCAGCGAAACCGUGAGGUCAAGCAAAUCCCAUAAAGUUGUUCUCAGUUCGGAUUGUAGUCUGCAACUCGACUACAUGAAGCUGGAAUCGCUAGUAAUCGUAGAUCAGCAUGCUACGGUGAAUACGUUCCCGGGUCU